AUAGCCCGAGCUGCGCCCCCUCAUCGGGACACCGACCCAGUCCCACUGCAAGCACGGAGAUCCCAGAUCAGCAACUCCAGCCCAGCCCCGCUCCAACUCCAGAGGAACACGCUCCCCAUAGGGGCAGAAGCUGAUGGUGUGCAAGGUACGUCUUGUUCUUGGGGUGGCGCAGCUCGGGCUGUGGGCGAACUGCCACUUGUCGCCGUAGCGGCCCAUCGGGGAGCGGAUUCCUCUGGAGUUGGAGGGACAGGGAGACACAGCGGCUUUUGAGAAUGGUGGGCAAUUACUUCCAACGUUCUGCCCACACAGUCAGUACACCUCUUCUACACUUGUCUCCUGCACUAAGAUCAUCUCGCAGAGAAUGAUCCCAGCCUAACCCUCCCUAUUCUCUCCUAUUCUGCAAGAAAAAACUACAUUGAAGACUCAAACUCGCGAUCGAGUAACUGCCGGGAUCGAGGCGCAAACUUGCGACCUUGCGGAUAUGAGCCGAGCACUCUACCACUGAGCCAGCUGUUAAAAUCUACGCUAAAUAUCUUCCAAUCCGAAAGCCGAAAAAUUCCGAAUUACGAAAGGUGUCUGGUCCCAAGGCUUUCGGAUAAAAGAAGUUAUUAGUCCUCUACUGAUCCAGAAGAAUAAGCUUUCAAUUGAUUAGGCUGGCCUCAAAAUACAUUGCAAAGUUAUACUUCUGCAGUGCAUGCACUGUUGUGCGUGGAAGGUUUAUGGACUUUGUGGACAUGAAGCCGCGGCCUCCGGUUAGAAAAGGUCGACUCGGGAGCUCUGUUUCCGUUACGUCUCUAUGCCGGAGUCUCCAUCAUCCCGACGAGAGGCCUUUAACAUCGGGCCGUCGGCAGAGACUGUGCUGAGGGAGACUGUUCCUGCAGCCCCACUCUGGCAAUGGAUGAGGCCCAGGACAGAAAGAAUGAUAUUCAAGAGAAUUAAACGGCUGAAAUAGACGCAGGUCAGUCAGCAAAUGUGAAGAUGGAUGCAGAGUUCAUACGUCAGGUUGAUGACCCGUCAAGGGAGUUAAAGGGCCUGUCCCACUUGCAUGCGUUUGGCGUGACCAAACGGAAGCGGAGUUCACACGAAGUUCACGGGUGACGUCAUUUGCGUCAUACUUACCAAUCAGCUGGGUAGGAGGCGGUCCGACUGAAUUUGGGCGUCGCACGGCGCGGGCAGUGACGUCAUCACGCAACGCCACGUGCUAGGCGUUCGCCAUCAAAACGCUGCGCACGACCGCAAUGCGCCUGCGUGCCGACAGGCCAUUGGCGCGCGAGGACUUCAGACACUCAGUUUUUCGGACCCCCGAGCGAUGUCAGGACCAGCCCCACACAACUCCGCGCUUCUAAGUGGGACCGGCUCUGUGCGGCCAUACGGUGCCCGUACGCCUCAAGCAACCACGUUUGGUUGCGCCAAACGCAUGCAAUCGCAUGCAAAUGGGACAGGCCCUUAAGCUGCUGAACUUGUUUUCAAUAACAGAUGACUUGGGACUUGUCAAUAUAUAAUGAAACCUUAAGGGAUAUUUGUAAGAUAGAUAUGAAGAAAUCCAUUGUGCCGAGCUGGUUAAUAACAAGUCAAUAGCUUAAAGCAACAACUGCAUGUACACACCUAUAAAGCAACAGUUGGAAAUAGUCUUGCACCAAAUGAACUAUUUUGUAGGUACGUGUGCAAGAAGGAACUGCAGAUGUUGGUUUAAACCGAAGAUAACAUGUAACCGUUAAACAAAGUUUGUAUUGGUUUGGACUAUGAUAUGCAGAUGCCUCUAAUAAAAAAUGUAUUUAUAAACCGAAGAUAACUGAAGAAGGGUCUCAGCCCGAAAUGGCACCCAUUCCUUCUCCAGAGAAGCUACCUGUCCAGCUGAGUUACUCCAGCUUUUUGUGUGUAUCUAUUUUGUAGGUACUAUCUUUCUCGCUGAAAAAUUCUGUUAUUUACAACCCCAUAAAUACCACAUUUAAACAUCAACUAACCUGGUGA